AAGUACCCCGCCUGGGGAGUACGUGCGCAAGCAUGAAACUCAAAGGAAUUGACGGGGGCCCGCACAAGCGGUGGAGCAUGUGGUUUAAUUCGAAGCAACGCGAAGAACCUUACCAGGUCUUGACAUCCCUUGACCACCUCAGAGAUGAGGUUUCUCUUCGGAGCAAGGAGACAGGUGGUGCAUGGUUGUCGUCAGCUCGUGUCGUGAGAUGUUGGGUUAAGUCCCGCAACGAGCGCAACCCUUGCCUUUAGUUGCCAUCAUUAAGUUGGGCACUCUAGAGGGACUGCCGGUGACAAACCGGAGGAAGGUGGGGAUGACGUCAAAUCAUCAUGCCCCUUAUGUCCUGGGCUACACACGUGCUACAAUGGUCUGCACAGAGGGAAGCGAAGCAGUGAUGUGAAGCGAAUCCCAGAAAACAGAUCUCAGUUCGGAUUGUAGGCUGCAACUCGCCUACAUGAAGGUGGAAUCGCUAGUAAUCGCAGGUCAGCAUACUGCGGUGAAUACGUUCCCGGGCCUUGUACACACCGCCCGUCACACCACGAAAGUUUGCAACACCCGAAGCCGGUGGCCUAACCCGCAAGGGGGGGAGCCGUCGAAGGUGGGGCAGAUGAUUGGGGUGAAGUCGUAACAAGGUAGCCGUAUCGGAAGGUGCGGCUG
rnacentral:rRNA from 1 species